UUUUUUUUUUGUUUUAAAAAAAGGUAUUCGGGCCGGGCUGGUUAACCGACGGAUCUAGAUCGGGCUUGAUUCGGGUCGAAUUAGUCGGGCCCAUUUUAAAAAAAUAACUGACUCGGGACCCGAAACCUUAAAGCCCUAGGACUUACCGAUCAAACCUGACCAGACCCGACCCACUUGACACCCUUAAUCCAAAUGAUACAAAGUAUCCCUUUGUUUUUAUUUUGUGGAAGAUAAGUUUCUCCUAAUCCCAUUAAAAAGAAAUCGUGUUCUUCUGGGUAAAGCUCGUCUUACGGGUUUUGUCUUAUUUAUAGGUCAGGUAGAGAAAAAUUUUAUUAUGAAUGAGAUAAGCCAACACAUACUUGUAUGAGGGAUUAUCUAAUUGACAAGUGGACUCUAGUGGUCCCACACUCCCACUGAGAAGCAAAAGAAGGGAUUCCUUUCAUUUCUUUUGUCAUUUACCUUUAUUCUUUUCUCUUUUCUUGUAUUCCUUCUUCUUUUUUUUCCUAAUCUUCUUCCAAAUAUUUUGUGUCUUAGUUUUAUUUUAAGCUUUUUAAAGAGGUCUUAUAGAAAGUGUGCAUUUGUUAUUUUUUGUAACAUAGUUUGAAAUAUUUUUGAAUUCAAAAAAUUAAUUUUGAAGAAUGAUUUGUAAUUAUUUUGGUAAGCUUAUCUGAUUAGUGGGAGAUUUUUUUUUGUAUGUGUAAUGAAUUUGAUCGAUUUCUUUGUGAUCUUUACAUGAGUUUUAAGUAGAAUUAUUAAUAUUUUUCUUUAAAUUUUUUUAUUUAAAUUAAAAUUAAAUCAAUUUGGCCAAUUUUUAAUUAUUCAAAUAAAAUAAAAUAAAUAUAGUACACAUUUAUCAAUUUCAUUAUUUUUUUGAUUUUUUUUUUAAAGUAAUGAUAUUUAUCUCUUUUUCUCAUUUCAUGGAAAAGAAAUUUCAUUAGUUGCUAACUUGUAAUUAUGAACUAUCCUUUUUUAUUAUGAUGACUAUAAUUUUCUUUUAAUUAUGAAUAAUAUCUUAGGAUGAAAUAUUUGAUUAGGUGAACAAAGUUUAUAUAAAAUAUAAAAAUAUCUUGAUAUAAAUCUCAUAAUUUAUUUUUAGAUAAAUUGACUUGGAGCCAUAUAUUUCUUUUAAAAACAUGUUUGAGCUAGAUUUAUUAGUCUGUUAAAACAAAAUUAACAGCAAUAAAAUUUUGAUAAAAAAUUAUAUAAAAUAUUUAAAUUAUUUAUAAAAUUUGAUACAUUUCUAUUUCAUAUAAAUAAUUAUAAAAUCAUCAUCAAAGGAUGUGGUGCAGUAUAUGAACAACUCCUUCAAUGGCAAAAUUCUUAGUAAGGAGCGUUAUCUCCUGAAUGAGCCUCUAUUCGACGCGAAUCUGAAUUAAUCAGACUCUAAUACGGCUAUCGGAUAUUAAACGAGAAAUCAAAAAAAUAAUUACAAAAUCAAUCAAUUUAAUUAUUAUUAUAUUUAAAAAAAUUUAAAUUAAAUCAUAUAAAAAUAAUAAAUAUAUCAAUAUAUUUAGUUAAUUUAAUUUUUAUUCAAUUCACGAAGGAUAAAAAAAUUACGGCCUAUGAAUUGAUCUAAUGUUGAUGAAAAAAAAUGAGAAAAAAAGGUGGAAGAGGAUAGCCAGGGGAGAAAAGGGUGGGUUUAUAUUAAGAAGAAAAGUGGAUCCCACGUUAUAAUUCAAUUUCUUGCACAAAAUUAUAGAUUCUCACUCCUCUUAAUAGUUUUAAAUUAAUAAAAUGAGUACCAUAAUUCAUGUGUCAAAAAAAUAAUGAAAUCACAUACAACUUAUGUUUUAAAAUUUUUCGUCAGGUAACAUCUCAUAUUCUCCGCUACUCUCUUGCAUUUUUAUUAUUUCUCCAAAAAAAACAAAAAAAAAGAAGAAACAAGAAAAACUGGAUGGUACAUCAUGCACGUGCAGAAUUUUAUAGAAGUACUGCUAUGGUUUAAAUUUGUGAGUGUAAUUUUAACUUGAUAAAGUUUAAGAAAGUAAAAAAAAAUAAAAUUCAAUCUUAAAUUAAAGAUAUAAGUAUAUAAGAAAAACAUCUUUUAAUUUUUUUAAAUAUGUGACGUAAAAAGUUAAAAUUAAAGAGCUAUAACAAUUCUGCACUUUACAAAAAUACACCAACAAACUGAAAUAAUUUCCAAUAAAGGAAGAUAAUAAAAAUAAAACUAAGAAAGUAUUAUUUUUGUUUAAUUAUUCAAUAUAGUAUAAAACUCACUAAUAUGCAGUGGCGGAUCUAGCAUAUAUCCAAGGAUUCAUUUGAAUUUCUUCGAUAAAAAAUUAUAUUAUUUACAUACGGUUAAAGUUAUUUUUAUGCAUAUAUUAUAUAUAUUUAAUCCCCUUCGAUUACUUUGUGUAUACAUUUUCAAACCCCCUAAUAAACUUUUUGGCUUCGCCACUGCUAAUACGACUAAUUCAUUUUUUUUCCAAAAAAGCUUUCUCCUUGAAAGUACUACUGCUCUCGUUCCAAGUUAUUUGAUACUCCCUAAACAAUAAUGACUUAUUUUAACUUAGCACAAAAUUUAAGAAAAUAAAGAAAAUUUUGAAUUUUAUAAAUUAAAGUAGUGUCAAAUGUAUAAAAAAAUCUUUUAAUCUUGUGGUCAUAAAUAUGUCAUAUGGAAAGUUGAAAUUAAAGUAUUGACAAAAAGAAAAGGAGUCAUUCUUUUUUAAACGGACUAAAAAAGAAGAUAGAUCAUUCCUUUUUAAACAAGGGAGUACAUUUUUUUGAUCAAUUUCAAAAGAAAAAUCAUUUUCUUACAAUUAAAAAAAUUUAAUUCUAUUUUUAAGAAUAAUAUAUAUAUAUAUAAAUAGUAAAUAUUUAUUUUAAACUAUAAGUAUUCAAACUAUUUUCUUUCUAAAUUUGUGUGAAGUGAAUAGAGGCACACUAAUUGAGUAGGGAUAGCGAUUUCAUUUUCUUGUACGGUCAAAGUGUUAUGGUCACAAUUUAUCUUAUAAAUUCCAUCUCAUUGUCCAAAACACACUCUUCUUUUUUCAAUCCAGAAUUUAAUUCUCUCCUCUCCUUCAAGCAAAGUUGCUCACUCUUUCUCUUUCUCCGCCUUUUAUUUAUUCUUUCUUUCUGUUGGUUUCUUGAUUUCCGUGUACCUUUUUCAAAUCCCCUUCAACAAAAACAAAAAUGGGAUAUUCCCCAAGUAGUUGUACCAACUCUGCAGAGCUUCUUCAUCAAACACUCAAACUUUAGCCAUUGACACUGAUCGCUAUGAUCUAAGCAUAAAAUCUUUAAUUUACAAAAUGAUUUGGGAUUUGGGCUUGGCGUGUAUCAUCCCACCUCGACGGCGUCGAAUUUCUGUCAAGACUGAACAAAAUGAUGACAAAAAUGGCAAAAAUUUGGAGCAUAAUAAAACAUGGUUACUUGCUGAGGCUGGAGGAUGUGGUGGUCCUGCGUUGAUUAAUUCUGACCCACAUUCUGUUCAUUCUUCGUUUAGGUUCACUUUGUGUACUCAAGUUGAGGUUGAGUCAGUGAAUUUGAGUAACAGCUGUUCUUCUUCUUCUGCUGCUACUGUAUUGAUGGUGAAUUUGGAGAAUGGGUUAACUGAUGAUUCUAAGUUGAAAGAGAUGAAAUGGAGGCAAGUUGAGUCCUUAGAGCGGAACAUUUCUCCUGUUGUUCACUCGUUGAUUAGGUUCAAGUACAAUGAUAUUGUUUCUGCUACUAGAAAUUUUUCUAAAGGUAUCUUCAAUUUCAUGUUGAAGCACACCCCCCCCCCCCUCCAUUUUUUUUCCUUUCUCCUUUUUAAUUCAUGUUUCUUUAAUCCAUUUGUGAGAUUACAUUGGGUAAUGUUGUCGUUGUUGUUGAAUUGAGUAUCUCUACAAGGUAAGACGUAUGGUUUGCAUACAAGCUGUUCUCCCCAGACCCCACACUUAAGUGGGAUUAGACUGGAUACUACACUCUGUCCUACGUGGUAGGGUAUGGUUUGUCGUACAAUCUACCCUCACUAAAACCCACUUACAGGAUUACACUGUUAUGUUGUUUAUGAAUUGGGUUUUCAAUAAUGUGUACUAAUUUAUGCUUCUUCAAUUGGAAAGGCAGAGUUUUGGGAAGAGGAGCAUUGAGCUAUGUUUUUCGAGGAAGAGUGGGAUUUUUGAGCACUACAGUGGCAAUCAAGCGUUUAGAUAUGAAGGAUGAGGAGUCUCCAAAGGCAUUUUGUAGAGAAUUGAUGAUUGCUAGUUCUCUUCAUAACCCAUAUAUUGUUCCUCUUGUGGGGUUUUGCAUUGAUCCAGAGAAGGGUUUAUUUCUUGUGUACAAAUAUGUAUCUGGUGGAAGCUUAGAGCGGUAUUUGCAUGGUAAAUAAUUCUUGCUUUUCUUUUCUUUUUAAUUUGAUUUUACGGAAUUUCAGCGGGAUUCAGAUUGUCAAUAUUCACAGGGAAGAAGAGGGGAGGUAAAGGUGUUCCAGCACUUCGAUGGUCUGCUAGGUAUAAGGUGGCUGUAGGCAUUGCAGAGUCAAUUGGGUAUUUGCAUAAUGGGACAGAGAGAUGUGUUGUUCAUAGGGACAUCAAACCGUCAAACAUUCUUCUUUCAUCCAAGAAGAAACCCAAGGUAAUGACAGCGAUAUCAUUUGAAAAGCACAGUUAGGUAAUUGCCAAUUUUAGGUGGAUCUACUAGCCAACAGUAUUUUCUUUUAAUAACAUUGGUGUCGGGCCCAACUUGCUAGAAAGAACCUCAACUAUUUCAUAGGUACCGGUUUAACUCUGUCCACCACCAAGGUUUAGACAGAUAGGGAAAAUCGCCCUAGUUUCUUUUUUUCAUUUGCUGGAAUUAAAUCUGGUUGAAUGUGCAUGCAGUUGUGUGACUUUGGCUUGGCUACAUGGACUCCUGCACCUUCAGUACCUUUCCUUUGUAAAACUGUUAAAGGAACAUUUGGGUAUGAUUUCUAUCUGGAAAGCUCUUUAGCAUAACAAUGACUGCAAUCCUGAUGUAGCUUAACAAGAAAAAUUGUCCUACAUUUAAACAGGUUUUAAAACUACAUUUGCAGGUACUUAGCCCCAGAAUAUUUUCAGCAUGGUAAAGUUUCUGAUAAAACUGAUGUUUAUGCCUUUGGAGUUGUCCUAUUGGAGCUAUUGACGGGACGGAAGCCAAUAGAAACGAUAAGAGGACCAGGAGAAGAAAACUUGGUUUUGUGGGUAGGUGGCUGCUUAAAUAUAUGCCUAGUACUUGUAUUCAAUUUGGCCUUACUUUGAUAUCUAAGUCAGUCCAUCUCUAUCAUCUUUUAAGGUGGUUGGUAACUAUCAAUGCAAUCUGAAUUAGUCCAAAUUCUGUUUCUCCCAAGUUGCUGAUCCUAAAUUUUUGUAUUAGGCAAAGUUCCGGUAUUGCAUGUGAUAAUCUCCUCACUUAGUUACCUUUAUAAGCUAUUCUCGCACAUGCGAGUCUGCAUCUGAAGGUGUUGUGUCCAACUCAGUGACACUAAAGUUUUUGUAACAAAACUUGGAAAAAGUUGGCACUUCCCUUAAUAAUUUAGAAGAUGUUUGAUUGGGUACUACCAGCUCUCGAUGCAGAUUUUUAAGUUUUAAUAUUUGUUCUUUUCAGGCUAAGCCACUGUUGCAGCAAGAUGUUCUUCAAAAGUUUCUUGAUCCAAGACUUAAAAUCCCGCAAAAGAAUUUGCACCAAAUAUGUUGGAUGAUUCAAGCAGCAGCUUCAUGUAUUCACAGUGAGGAAUCUCGAAGGCCUGACAUUGAUGAAAUCAUCGACAUGUUGAGAGGCAGAGAAUCUGACUCCAACACAAAGGACAUUUUGCCCGGAAACAACUGUAUGAUCGAUUCUCACUACCAAUUUCAGCAGAUUAGAAGUGAAAUGAAGAGUCAUUUAGCCUUGGCAAUGCUAGGAGUUGCAGAAUUUGAUGACGAUGACCUUUAUCGUUGAAACAAAUGGGUGAAUCUGAAGUUUUAUCUCUAUUGCCAUUGCCCCAUUCAACUUGACAGGAAGUAAAUUAUAGCUGGACAACUGAUAACCUCUUUAACUAGUAGAUAAAAGCACCAGCCUAAUUGAAGAAUUCUGUGUUUGUGUUUGUACAUACUGAUUUUUUGUCCCCUACUCUUAAAGGUAAAAUUAUGGCAGUUUCUGUUUUUCAAGAUUAGAUAAGAAAGUUUCAACAAUGCUGUCUAACCAAAUUUAACUUCUUUUCUUGAUUGCAUGUUAGUCUUUCCUUGGACUUUCUAAGUAUUGUGUAUUUUGGCCAACUUAGGCAGGCUAUAGUCAGACAACUUCAGAUACGUAAGUUUGUAUUACUGCUUGGUGAAUGAAAGAGUAUAUAGGUGGGCAGUUCCUAUCAUUUCCUUUUUCUAUCUGCUUUCAAUUAUUAGUCCAUAAUUCUAUUGAAACAAACUCCCUUUUCACCUCCAAGAAAACUUUGUCCCACACUACCUUUCUUCAAUAACCUUUCAUGCUAAAAGCACCGGAGCAGUAUCCCACAGGCCACACAAUCCAUGGUAGGUCACCAAAUGAUAAAUUAUACAAUAUGCAAAAUUUGUUUAUCCAAAUCUCUUGGACUUUGAAACUUUCUCGAGUUAUGCAUAUAAAUUUUAAAAUACACUCUUUUUAGUUCAGCACUCACGUCGUCUAAAUUAUAAAUUUGUCAUUGUAUGUCUGAUCUAUCUAAUAGAGUUUCUUGUCCAUUUCGAUAUCAUAUUCCCUCAUGCCUAUUCUAUAUUUAUCGCGCAUGAAUGCAUCUUUCUUAAUUAAAACAACUACAGAAGUUGAUCGAUCCAAUUCAGUUUAGGUAAUUAAUUAAGAAAGAAAUGGUCAGAAAGUACAGCCAUUAUGCCAUGCACAACGAACAAAAUUCAGGUCAACUUGCAAUUAUUUGGCAUAUGGGUGAAACCAAGACAGCUCAACUCUCACAUGGGACCCAAAUAAUAAAUCCAAAUAAUAAUUAGACAAACUUGUUGCUGCACGUUGUCACAAUAGGGGAGAAAGAAAAUGAAAAACCACAGUUUUGUUGUAUAUCACACAAACUAAAAUGAAAAAAAUAAAUAAAUAUGUACAGUCCACCUCAAUAUGAUGUAAGAAAAAUUGACGCUACAGUUUAACCAACUUAAAACGGUUUCUUCAACAAUUAAAAGAAAAGGAGAUUCGAGGUCGAUUGAUAAUGACUUUAACUUCUAUACACCAACCAAUUAUGUAAGAGAAUUUCACACCAUCACGUUGCCUAAUGUAGAUAAUUACAAGUAACAUCCAUCAAGUGAGAUUAAUAAACAGAGAUGUCAGCGUAUAAAAGUUAAAUUCAUAUCAAAAUGGGGAGAUAUAUUGGAAGAAGAAAUGAACUAGAAAAUUUUAGCAACAUCCUUAAUCAAGCCUCUAUUGGCUCUGGCAAAAUCUGUGAACUCUUGAAAAGAAAUGAAACCAUCUUUAUCAGUAUCAAUUUCAUCCAUCAUAUACUUAACUUCUUCAGGAGUAAUAGAACCUAACGCUUGCAAGGUCUCUCCAAGUUCUGUCGCAGAGAUUUGUCCAUCACCAUCUCCAUCAAAACGCUUGAAGAUUCGUUCUCGAUCAGCUAUAUCUUUUGGAUCAUCAGCCUCUGCCAUUCCUCAACAGUUUUUAAUUUUUACCAAUCUUUUUAUAAUGGCAAUUAUAAUAUGGCAAAGUUUGUUCUUCUAAUUUGUGUUUGGUUUAAUAUUUAGUCACUUAGAUCCAAGAAAUGACUUGAUUUGGGGUUAUAAAGGGGUAGAUCUCUAUCAAUGUAUGGUUAACCUUAUCAUUAGGACAUGGGAUUUUUGUGGACAAACUCUGAAAGGGUCUAGACAUCCAUCCACAAUCAAAGAUAAUUAACGGAAAUAACAAAUUUAUAAUUGAAAAUUCCACAUAUAUUGAAUGGAUUGGAAUCUCAUAUUUUAAUUGCGCUUCCGCUAUAUAUACUGUACUUGAACUGUUGGAUAAUCAUAGUCAAUAUGAUAAUAACUAAUUCUUAAUUCUAUAACGGUGAAUAGAAAUUUGAUUGCCCAUUUGAAGUUUAGUGCCUUCCCUUAGAUCUGUACUUGAAAGUUUCUUAUCUCCUACCGUCAUACGCCUCCAACCGUUAAUAGUUUUGAUAUCCCAUUUUGAUCAAUACGGCAUAUAAUAAAUCAUAAUGAGAUUUCCUAUUAUCAUAUUGUCGGAUGAAUACAAUCAAAUAUAAUCAAACGGGACCUCAUCCUGAUGGAAAAUUUUUAAUUCAAAAAUGAAAUAAAAAAGGCAUAAAAUUAAAAUAUAAAUAGCACUAAAGGUGGAUUGUAAAUCUUAGUAGAUACCGAAGUUUGAAAGAGAUAAGUAUGUCUUAAACCAUUAGAUGGUGGGGGCGGGCUUGACCAACUGUAAAAAUUAUGCUUGUCGAUAGAGUAGGUGAUUUUGAAUUAGCAUCUUACUAUGAUCAUUAUAUUAUUUAAUUUAAAUUUAUGUUGAUAAAAGGUAUAUAAAAGUGUAUCACCUAAAUUGUAAAGAGGAAGUGAGUAUUUAAAAGUUUAUUGUUAUAUUGAAAUAUAAAUGGCAGCACAAACAUCAAAAAAUGGCAAAGCCAAGUUGAAUUUUGUGCAUCAAAUUAGUUCAAACUUUUGCAGCAGUGUAAAGGGAGAAUUUUAAUUAAUGGAUAUUGAAAAAAAAAACAAAAAAACUUGAGCACUCCUGCUCCUCACAAAUGCUUUAAAAUGACAUGUUGAACAUUUCCUCUGAUCCCUAAUAGUACCUGCUAGGUAUGAUAUUUUAUUUAAUGGAUAUGAACAAUUCCUAAAUCACCGGCAAAACUCUCCAAAAUCAUUGCAAGAGUUAAAACUAUAUGACGAAAAUCCAAAAUUAUUUCUACUUUUAUGUUUUAAAAUAGAGUUGUUAGUAUGGAUCGGUUCAGUCCAUUCGAACUAGCUUACAUGAGCUUUGGAGUUUGAUGGGCCGCGCUGGGCUGACUCAUCAACAUGAGAGGCCAAAAAAUAACAAGUCCAACCCAUCACAUUGUGGACUGCAGGCCUUCACGGGCCAACCCAUUUUUUAAAAUAUAUUAUUUUUAUAAUGUUAAUUUAAAUUUUAAAAUAUUAAUUAUAUAAUAUUUACAAUAUAAUAUUACAUGAAGUUACUACUUGUUAAUUAAGUCACAAUAGGGGAGAAAGAAAAUGAAAAACCACAGUUUUGUUGUAUAUCACACAAACUAAAAUGAAAAAAAUAAAUAAAUAUGUACAGUCCACCUCAAUAUGAUGUAAGAAAAAUUGACGCUACAGUUUAACCAACUUAAAACGGUUUCUUCAACAAUUAAAAGAAAAGGAGAUUCGAGGUCGAUUGAUAAUGACUUUAACUUCUAUACACCAACCAAUUAUGUAAGAGAAUUUCACACCAUCACGUUGCCUAAUGUAGAUAAUUACAAGUAACAUCCAUCAAGUGAGAUUAAUAAACAGAGAUGUCAGCGUAUAAAAGUUAAAUUCAUAUCAAAAUGGGGAGAUAUAUUGGAAGAAGAAAUGAACUAGAAAAUUUUAGCAACAUCCUUAAUCAAGCCUCUAUUGGCUCUGGCAAAAUCUGUGAACUCUUGAAAAGAAAUGAAACCAUCUUUAUCAGUAUCAAUUUCAUCCAUCAUAUACUUAACUUCUUCAGGAGUAAUAGAACCUAACGCUUGCAAGGUCUCUCCAAGUUCUGUCGCAGAGAUUUGUCCAUCACCAUCUCCAUCAAAACGCUUGAAGAUUCGUUCUCGAUCAGCUAUAUCUUUUGGAUCAUCAGCCUCUGCCAUUCCUCAACAGUUUUUAAUUUUUACCAAUCUUUUUAUAAUGGC
rnacentral:lncRNA from 1 species